rnacentral:rRNA from 1 species
GACGAACGCUGGCGGCGUGCUUAACACAUGCGAGUCGAACGAAGCUUGAUUACGGAUUCUUCGGAUGAAGUAUGAUAUGACUGAGUGGCGGACGGGUGAGUAACGCGUGAGUAACCUGCCCUUCAGAGGGGGAUAGCGUUUGGAAACGAACGGUAAUACCGCAUAAUGUAUUUUGACCGCAUGAUCGAAAUACCAAAGAUUUAUCGCUGAAGGAUGGACUCGCGUCUGAUUAGGUAGUUGGUGGGGUAACGGCCUACCAAGCCGACGAUCAGUAGCCGGACUGAGAGGUUGAUCGGCCACAUUGGGACUGAGACACGGCCCAGACUCCUACGGGAGGCAGCAGUGGGGAAUAUUGCACAAUGGGCGCAAGCCGGAUGCAGCAACGCCGCGUGAAGGAAGACGGUUUUCGGAUUGUAAACUUCUGUUCUUAGUGAAGAAUAAUGACGGUAGCUAAGGAGCAAGCCACGGCUAACUACGUG